UACGUGGGGGGCUAGCGUUGUCCGGAAUCAUUGGGCGUAAAGCGCGUGUAGGCGGUCCGGUAAGUCCGCUGUGAAAGUCGAGGGCUCAACCCUCGAAUGCCGGUGGAUACUGUCGGGCUUGAGUACGGGAGAGGCGAGUGGAAUUCCUGGUGUAGCGGUGAAAUGCGUAGAGAUCGGGAGGAACACCAGAGGCGAAGGCGGCGACCUGGACAGGUACUGACACUCAACUACGAAAGCGUGGGGAGCAAACAGG
rnacentral:rRNA from 1 species